rnacentral:pre_miRNA from 1 species
CGUGCACUGGUGGGGUCCCUCAGCCUGGACUGUGCCCUCUCGCAAUCUGGGAUCCCUUGGGGGAUGUUGGAGAGCUGGUUUCGGUCUGAUCCCGCAGGCCAGGCUGAGGGACCCCACUGGUGCAUG